CCUACGGGUGGCUGCAGUGAGGAAUAUUGGUCAAUGGGCGCGAGCCUGAACCAGCCACGUAGCGUGAAGGAUGACUGCCCUACGGGUUGUAAACUUCUUUUAUAAAGGAGUAAAGUGAGGCACGUGUGCCUUUUUGUAUGUACUUUAUGAAUAAGGAUCGGCUAACUCCGUGCCAGCAGCCGCGGUAAUACGGAGGAUCCGAGCGUUAUCCGGAUUUAAUGGGUUUAAAGGGAGCGUAGAUGGGUUGUUAAGUCAGUUGUGAAAGUUUGCGGCUCAACCGUAAAAUUGCAUUUGAUACUGGCAGUCUUGAGUACAGUAGAGGUAGGCGGAAUUCGUGGUGUAGCGGUGAAAUGCGUAGAGAUCACGAAGAACUCCGAUUGCGAAGGCAGCUUACUAAACUGCCACUGACAUUGAUGCUCGAAAGCGUGGGGAGCAAACAGGAUUAGAUACCCUGGUAGUC
rnacentral:rRNA from 1 species